rnacentral:rRNA from 1 species
UGGGGAAUAUUGGACAAUGGGGGCAACCCUGAUCCAGCGACGCCGCGUGUGUGAAGAAGGCCUGCGGGUUGUAAAGCACUUUUAGUGGGGACAAAAAGCCGGGGGCUAAUACCUUCCGGUCUUGAUUUAACCCAAAGAAAAAGCACCGGCUAACUCUGUGCCAGCAGCCGCGGUAAUACAGAGGGUGCAAGCGUUAAUCGGAAUUACUGGGCGUAAAGCGUGCGCAGACGGUUUCGUAAGUCGGGUGUGAAAUCCCCGGGCUCAACCUGGGAAUUGCAUUCGAGACUGCGAGGCUAGGGUACGGAAGAGGGAAGCGGAAUUUCUGGUGUAGCGGUGAAAUGCGUAGAUAUCAGAAGGAACAUCAGUGGCGAAAGCGGCUUCCUGGUCCAGUACCGACGUUCAGGCACGAAAGCGUGGGGAGCAAACAGG